AUUAAAGGCGUGCGCCACCACACCCGGCAAGUGUUGAUUCUUAAACACCAAAGAAAAAGAACCCAUGUAAAACAGCUGGAUUCAGGAAGAUGGCUCAGGGAUAAAGACACUUUCUGCCAAACUUGAUGACCUAAAUUCCAUUCCCAGGCCCCACACGGUAGGAGAGAACUGACUCCCCCAAGUUGUCCUCUGACAUCCACAUCAGUGCUACGGUCUACACCUCCCCCUCAAAAGAAAUUGUGUAGCAGUGACACGCAUCUGCAAUCACAGCUCUUCUGCAGCCUGGAAACUCCAGGGCCAGCCAGCCUGGAGUGCUCCCGAGCCACAGAAACAAAAAGCCUGCUGCCUCAACAAGGCAGUGGAAGAGAACCGAGUCCACGUGCAAGCCACAACAGCGCUGGGUGAACAAGACUCACAGUGAGACAUGCAAAAAUCUCUGCCUAUCACAGCAGUUCAUCAAAAGAUGAGGAAAAAACGAUCCCUGCAGGGAAAAGGAAGAAGCAGGAAUGAAGCAUCUCUGAUUGACUUCAGAGCACUAGGAGAGGCCAAGAAAGUCCUCCUGCCUGGGUUUUGCCAUUUCUAAAGUAGCCACUUGGUCACAAUGUACUAAUAUCCACAGUGUG
rnacentral:lncRNA from 1 species